AAUCCCGUGGGGGGCUAUAAUGCAGUCGACGCGUUGGCCCAAUUGAUUGAUGGUGCUUGCACCUGAUUGAUUUUGGUCGCCAACGAGUGGCGGACGGGUGAGUAACACGUAGGUAACCUGCCCAGAAGCGGGGGACAACAUUUGGAAACAGAUGCUAAUACCGCAUAACAACGUUGUUCGCAUGAACAACGCUUAAAAGAUGGCUUCUCGCUAUCACUUCUGGAUGGACCUGCGGUGCAUUAGCUUGUUGGUGGGGUAACGGCCUACCAAGGCGAUGAUGCAUAGCCGAGUUGAGAGACUGAUCGGCCACAAUGGGACUGAGACACGGCCCAUACUCCUACGGGAGGCAGCAGUAGGGAAUCUUCCACAAUGGGCGCAAGCCUGAUGGAGCAACACCGCGUGAGUGAAGAAGGGUUUCGGCUCGUAAAGCUCUGUUGUUAAAGAAGAACACGUAUGAGAGUAACUGUUCAUACGUUGACGGUAUUUAACCAGAAAGUCACGGCUAACUACGUGCCAGCAGCCGCGGUAAUACGUAGGUGGCAAGCGUUAUCCGGAUUUAUUGGGCGUAAAGAGAGUGCAGGCGGUUUUCUAAGUCUGAUGUGAAAGCCUUCGGCUUAACCGGAGAAGUGCAUCGGAAACUGGAUAACUUGAGUGCAGAAGAGGGUAGUGGAACUCCAUGUGUAGCGGUGGAAUGCGUAGAUAUAUGGAAGAACACCAGUGGCGAAGGCGGCUACCUGGUCUGCAACUGACGCUGAGACUCGAAAGCAUGGGUAGCGAACAGGAUUAGAUACCCUGGUAGUCCAUGCCGUAAACGAUGAGUGCUAGGUGUUGGAGGGUUUCCGCCCUUCAGUGCCGGAGCUAACGCAUUAAGCACUCCGCCUGGGGAGUACGACCGCAAGGUUGAAACUCAAAGGAAUUGACGGGGGGCCCGCACAAGCGGUGGAGCAUGUGGGUUUAAUUCGAAGCUACGCGAAAGAAACCUUACCAGGUCUUGACAUUCUUUGCGCCAACCCUAGAGAUAGGGGCGUUUUCCCUUCGGGAACGCAAUGACAGGGUGGUGCAUGGUCGUCGUCAGCUCGUGUCGUGAGAUUGUUGGGUUUAAGUCCCCGCAACGAAGCGCAAACCCUUUGUUUACUAGUUGCCAGGCCAUAGGUGGUCACUCUAGUGAGACUUGCCGGGUGAACCAAAACCCGG
rnacentral:rRNA from 1 species